rnacentral:misc_RNA from 1 species
AUCAAUAUUUGAUUAAAUUCUUUCUCCCUUUUCACUUCUCAGCCAAUCAUUUGAAAAUUUCUCUACGCUGCACCGCUCCAAUUUCUCUCACAGCUACAGUUUUGCUUAAUCGGCCAAAGAACUUUGACUGCUGUUAUUCGAUUUCCCAUUUUUGCUGCUGCUUCUUCUCGGAAGGACCCACCCUGAUUUCUUCAUCAGAAUUGGAGCAAUUGGAGAUUCUUGUUAUUAUUAAUGGCGGAUCUCAAAGAGCGCCUGCUUCCACCAAAACCUGCGUCUGCUAUAAAUCUAAGAGAUGCUUCUUACCCACCAAAUCCUGCGUCUGCUAUAAAUCUAAGAGAUGC